GUUUGGGCCCAGUUUGCACUAAAUCUGGAUUCUGAAUUAGAGGUUAUCAUGGUCAAGGGUAGGUUAGAUAUUAUCAGGGAUAUGAGGGGCAGUUUUGCGAUUAUUAAGAAUACAAGGAUAUUCUUGAUAUUUCAGCAAAUUGCAGGGGCAUUUUUGAAAUUUUUCCUUGUUGAAAUAAUCUAGUUUUGAAAGGAGAAGACAACAUUGAAAAUUAUUCUAAAUUUUCCAACAUGUCUUCAAUGGAAAAUUUCAUAUUUUUACAAUCUUUAUCAUGAAUUAUUUUACUUUAUGCACUCUCUUCUUAUCAUUGAGUGAGUGUAAAUCACAUCCAUAUUAUUUGUUGAUUGCAUUGUACUUUAAUUAUCUAAUAAUUACAAAAAAUAAAUAUUGUGCCACCGUGAUGCAGUUAUUUUUUU
rnacentral:lncRNA from 1 species